ACUCAUACCUGGCAGGGGAGAUACCAUGAUCAUAAAAGUGGUUUUCCCAGGGUAAGGCUCAUCUAUUGCACUUUGGAUGUGCUAAUGACUGUGAUUUCCCCAAAUAUGGGAAAAUUAACUGCCAUGUUUGUGGUAAUGGGGGGGACUGUGUUUAUGGUUCCGGA
rnacentral:snRNA from 1 species